rnacentral:rRNA from 1 species
CUGCAGCCGCGGUAAUACAGAGGGUGCGAGCGUUAAUCGGAUUUACUGGGCGUAAAGCGUGCGUAGGCGGCUAAUUGAGUCGGAUGUGAAAUCCCCGAGCUUAACUUGGGAAUUGCAUUCGAUACUGGUUAGCUAGAGUGUGGGAGAGGAUGGUAGAAUUCCAGGUGUAGCGGUGAAAUGCGUAGAGAUCUGGAGGAAUACCGAUGGCGAAGGCAGCCAUCUGGCCUAACACUGACGCUGAGGUACGAAAGCAUGGGGAGCAAACAGGAUUAGAUACCCCAGUAGUCCCUGUCUCUUAUAC